CACCAUCCACGCCGUCGUGGUUUUCAUCUUUUUAUCCGAAUAGAAAGAUGAAAUGAAAAGGGAAGCCGGUGCGAAUCCGGCGCUGCCCCGCAGCGGUAUGUGGAAACGACCGCCGUUCCAUGCACUGGAGCCCCGGCUCCGGGAAGCGACGGCCACUAGGCGGGCCCCCCGGCCCCUGUCCACGAGCCCGAAGACCUGCCUCGGCCGGAAGGCGCCU
rnacentral:ncRNA from 2 species